GUAGUACUCACUCCGUCCGGAAAUACUUGUCGGAAGAUGUAUCUAGACAUAUUUUAGUUCUAGGUACAUCCAUUUUUAUGCAUUUCUCCGACAAAUAUUUCCGGACGGUGGGAGUAGUAU
rfam:Triticum aestivum genome assembly, contig: Triticum_aestivum_CS42_TGACv1_scaffold_345464_4DL